rnacentral:rRNA from 1 species
CACCUCUAGCAUUACCAGUAUUAGAGGCACUGCCUGCCCAGUGACAUUAGUUAAACGGCCGCGGUAUCCUGACCGUGCAAAGGUAGCAUAAUCAUUUGUUCCUUAAUUAGGGACUUGUAUGAAUGGCCCCACGAGGGUUUAACUGUCUCUUACUUUUAAUCAGUGAAAUUGACCUUCCCGUGAAGAGGCGGGAAUAUGACAAUAAGACGAGAAGACCCUAUGGAGCUUAAAUUUAUAUGCUCAACAAAAUUUAAAUUUAACCCAACAGGAAUAAUCACAAUUUAACUGAGCAACAAAUUUUGGUUGGGGUGACCUCGGAGUAUAACAAAACCUCCGAGUGAUUUUAACUAAGACAUACUCGUCAAAGUUACAUAACUUAUUGAUCCAAUCAUAUUGAUCAACGAAAUAAGUUACCCUAGGGAUAACAGCGCAAUCCUAUUCGAGAGUUCAUAUCGACAAUAGGGUUUACGACCUCGAUGUUGGAUCAGGACACCCAAAUGGUGCAGCAGCUAUUAAAGGUUCGUUUGUUCAACG